GGAAAGGCCCCUUCGGGGGUACUCGAGUGGCGAACGGGUGAGUAACACGUGGGUGACCUGCCCUGCACUCUGGGAUAAGCCUGGGAAACUGGGUCUAAUACCGGAUAUUCCCUUCUGGCCGCAUGGUUGGUUGGGGAAAGCGUUAUGUAGCGGUGUGGGAUGGGCCCGCGGCCUAUCAGCUUGUUGGCGGGGUGAUGGCCUACCAAGGCGACGACGGGUAGCCGGCCUGAGAGGGUGACCGGCCACACUGGGACUGAGAUACGGCCCAGACUCCUACGGGAGGCAGCAGUGGGGAAUAUUGCACAAUGGGCGCAAGCCUGAUGCAGCGACGCCGCGUGAGGGAUGACGGCCUUCGGGUUGUAAACCUCUUUCAGCGCCGACGAAGCGUAAGUGACGGUAGGCGCAGAAGAAGCACCGGCCAACUACGUGCCAGCAGCCGCGGUAAUACGUAGGGUGCGAGCGUUGUCCGGAAUUACUGGGCGUAAAGAGCUCGUAGGUGG
rnacentral:rRNA from 1 species